GUCAGCAGUGAGACCACCUGCUGUUCAGACCAGCUAAUCCAUCUGAAGCUAAGCAGGUUUGGGCCUGGCCGGUACUUGGAUGGGAGACCAACUAGGAAAGUUGGGUUGCUGCUGGGA
rnacentral:rRNA from 1 species